UUAAGAAUAUUAAUUAUAAAGUCAUGCUCCGAAAGGUUUAUCUUUUAAAUCAUUAAAAAGUAAUUAUUAGUAAUGUACCUUUUGCAUCAGGGGUUAAGAAAUAAAAUUAUCAAAUUAAUAACCUCCCGAAAGAAGUAGGAUCUUAAACUUUAUUGUUGGUUGUUGUUUCAUUAACAUUAAUAAUGAUAUUUAAGAAGCUAAAAGUUAUAACGACUCUUCUGAUCACCUGGUUUGCUAUUUAAUGUCUUUUAAGAAGGCAAAGAGUUAAUUGAAGUUUAAGUACUUUAUUAUUUUCUUUUAAUUAUAAAGGGACAAGCUUUUAUAACUCUAGGAAGAGCAAUUUAUAGUUUAUCUUCAUGACAAGAUAGACGUUAUUUAUCUAUUUAUAGAUCUACCUUUAGAAUAGCAUCUUUAGUGAAAUAAUUUUUAACUAUAAAAAUAAUCUUAACAUUAGUACUUCAAUAAAUCAAUUACUAAAAGGAACUAGGCAAGCAUUUAGCCGGACUGUUUAAUAAAAACAUUUCCUCUUGUGUAAAAAGGAGGUAAAGCCUGCUCGGUGUAACUGAUUAACAGCUGCAGUAAUUUGACUGUACAAAGGUAGCGUAAUCAUUUGUCUUUUAAUUGAAGACUAGAAUGAACGGCUUAACCAAGCUAAUUCUGUCUCUUUU
rnacentral:rRNA from 1 species